AUGGACCCCGCUGCCACGGGAGGGUAGAAACAAAAGAUGUCAUGCAAGUUCUUUCCAUAAGCAUGUAUGACUAUUUACGGAAUACAUGCCUACAUUAUAUCGAUGAACUGGAGCUAGUGCCGUAUCGCCCUAUGUUAUAACUGUCACAUGAUGAAUAUCAUCCAACAAGUCACCGAUCCAAUGCCUACGAAUUUAUCUUAUAUUGUUUCUGUUAAGUUACUACUGCUGUCAUCACUUUUACACUUGCUACAAAUUACUGCUAUCACUGUUACUGUUACCAUUGCCAUUGUUACUAUUAUCAAAACUAUCAAACUACUUUGCUACUGAUUACUUGCUGCAGAUAAUUAAUCUCCAAGUGUGGUUGAAUUGACAACUCAGCUGCUAAUACCUUCAAAUAUUCUUUGGCUCCCCUUAUGUUGAAUCUAUAAAUUUGGGUUGAAUACUCUACCCUCGAAAACUGUUGCGAUCCCCUAUACUUGUGGGUUAUCAAAACCUUUUUCUGGCACCGUUGCCGGGGAGCGUAGCUAUACUUGUUGAGUCACUUGGGAUUAUUAUCAUAUUAUCACUAUGAAGAAUCUGAAGGAUCCAAAGACUAAUAUUUAUCCCUCUAAGAUGAGGGGAGGUAAGGAUCUGCCAUCCAGUUCUGCUUUAGAUUCACAUUCUGUUAUGAGUAAACUUGCAACACCACCACAUGCUAUCAACUCUAAUAUGUCACAAGUUAUUGAUGAUGCUACUUCUACUAUGAAUGAUGCUUAUGAUGAUGCUAGUACCUUGCUUGAUAAUGAUGAUGUGCCACUUGGUGAAUUUCUUGAUGAACAAACACUACAACAAAAACACCCCUGUACCAACGCAUUUGUACCAACGAUAUUAUAGGAUCUGUUGUUUACCCCACAUCCCACAUCCCGCCUCCCGCACUAAUGUCCUCGUCCCUAAGCCUUCCGCACUUAGAGCCGACCUCCACUCCCUAAAAUAAAUCAAACCUCCCCGUACGCACACCUCCAUCUAUACCUCGUCAGCCAUCUUUCUCCCUCGAUUCUGCCUAGAUCCACGUUGUCCUGCGCCGUCGCUCAUAGGCCAGGCUCCCCCUCAGUGCACUCAUCCUAUAUUCUUCCUUGGUGACGUCCUCCACGCCACUGCAUGCGUCCAUGCAGUAACUCUAGUUGACACGGAUCACCGGCGCAUCUCGCUCGCCGCUAUUUUGGAGGCCACUACUGCGCGUCGCUGCUGCCGGCUCGGGCAUGGAUCUAAAACAAGCUGUGGUGUAGGGUGCUGCUCCCUUCUCUCGGUUGUGGCCGGCAGUGCAGACGGGCCCGAGGUGAGAGGAGCAUGGGUGGAGCUCGGGCCAUGUCCCUCAACUGCCAAUUGGAUCCCGUGUGUGCGGGUGGUUCUUGCGGCCCGCGGAGCCUUCGGCGGCCAUGGUGCUCCUUUUGGAUUUAUUUUGGCACCCGGCGUGCUCAAGUUGUAGUGGCCCCACGUGCGUUUGUCUGCAGCUGCGUGCGCGCUUGGCUCGUGUGCAUGUGUCUUUGGUGCGUGCGUGAUGGUUGAAAGUUCAACCCUGUGACACUGAUCGUUUGCUACUGCCGCUGAUUGUAUGUCGAUGCUGCUGAUUUUGCUACUCCUUAGUUCCUAUACAGUAGAUAGAAGAUAAUUGUGUCUGACCUGAUUGUUUGCUAUCGCCGCUGGUUGCUAUUGCUCCUGCUGCUGAUUGCUAUUGCCGUUGCUUCCGAUUUUGCUGCUCCUUGGUACCUACAGUAGAUAGAAGAUAAUAUGCAUUCCCAAAUAAAAAAUAUAGAAGACCUCUAUGUUUUAAUAUUCUUGCAAAUUUAACCAACUACUUAUUAUCUCUUCUCUAAACUUUCUCUUGAUCAGUUUCUCUUUUAUGUUGUCCAUUGCAAAUAUUAUUCAAUAUGUACAAUGCGUACAAUAAUAAUCAUGGAACCCUCUAGCUCCUUAUUGGUUCCAUGGUCCCUUUUCCUUGGAAUUGGUAGUAGUAUUAUUUGUUCCACCUGUAUCUCAUCAUGUGAUUUUUUUUUUCCUUGCAAUCUUUGUGCCUCCAAGAUGUCAGCUAUCAGUCUGUCAGUAUCUAAAUAAAUGCAGUAACCAUGAUGUUGGUAUGAAACUGUCCUACAGGCCAGGUUUUGAACUAUUGACAAUAGAUGCGCAGGUCGAUAAGAUUGUGUUAAAUCAUUAGCUUGCCAUGGGUGAUUGUGUAAUGGAUUAACUUGCUUUAAUGGAAUGCAGAUUCAGGAGCAAAUGGGAAUGUACAGCUUAUGACAUAAUCGUAGAAAGUUGGGCAACCCAUUCGCUUACUUGAUAAACCCUCCCCUGGUUCAGGCCACUAAGUUGUCCAUUUCCUUAUCUCUCCUCAUGAAGUAGCAUUCUUAUUUAUUUGAUAUCCUCUAUUUUUACACUAACUGGUCCAGCAAGUCUUUGUUAGUUAAGUGUGCCAAUAUAUGUCUAUUUUUUCUGGUCUUAACUUUUGUUCAGGCCUAUAUUUUGUAGAUUCAUAUAGGUAUUGAUAUUCAGGUAUUUCAAUGACAUGACAAAUGAUACAAGAUUAGGGAGCUGAGUUGUGACCAAAGAUCAAAUCCUCCUAGUUAUAUGAUAUGCUAUAUUGGCUGCAAAGGCACAUGGGUAGUGUUUCUUAAAAUUGGGUAAGUACUGACAUAAAUUGUUCAUCCAUUACUUAGGGUUGCUUUUAUUCAGAUUGUUCAACCAUUACAUAGGUCGCCCCUGAUGCAUUUUCUUAAAUAUACAUUCAUCUUACUGCUAGGUUGGUCUUGAAGAAUUAAAUAGUGUUGCAUUAAGUUAUUUUUAUUUCCCUGUAAACACCUUGGAUCCUACCUUCUCUAGAAACAAAACUGCACUACUUUUUCCUAGAGAAGCCCAAAUCUAAAGAAGUGUUUCUUUUUCAUGUUGUUUCUUCAACUAGUUCUAAGAGUUUUAUUCUUGAUUAAGAAAUUAUAAUGUGACAUUGUAGUUCUCAGGUAACUAUGAAGUUUUGUGUGAUGUAGAUUAGUUAAUGAUUUUGAGCUGUUAGCAUUGAGUUAUUUUCUCCUAAUAUAUCAUACCAAGCAUGAGCAGUACGUGAGUAAUGGUGACACUAAACUACUUAAUGCUGAGACCUUCAGAAAAUGUAAAUAUCCAAUUUUGUAUAGUCGAUAUUAUUGCUUACCAAAUCAUCAUUUAGUUGGUUGCUGAAUUCAUCUCAUUGUUGAUAUAAUAUAAUCUUUGGGUAACUGUUAAUAGUGAAUACAUGUUGCUGGCUGUUCGCAGUGAACAGGCACACCCGAUUGGUCGAAGAUAAUCAGUAUUUUAACAUGUCCUCCUACUAAGUUAUUUGUCAAACAUACAUAAGAUUAUGUCUUUCCCCCCAACAAUCUUUUCUUGCACACUUUGUAAUUUUUAUGUGGAUCCUUUUGGGUACAGUGCAUAGUAUGUAUAUGUUUAAACUUCAUUUCGUAUUUGGGCCUAAAUAGUAUUAUGAUUUUUCCUUGUAGGUUGAGAAUUUCAAUACAAGAUGAUUACUCAGAUCUUUUGGAACGUAUGAUGAUUGUUGGUACUUGGAGGAGAAACAAGACAGUUCUCUUAUUGAUGAUACUUCCAUUGUAGUCUAACAGAUUGUUCCAUUGAAUCAAUAUAUCAUUUUCAUUUCUACUCCACUGAAUUUUACUAAAGUUGUACCUUGUACUGCCAUUCAAACUACCUACUGUUACAAAUGAUUAUAUAUGGAGGUUAUUCUAUUUUGCAAGCACCAGAGCAUAGAGCAACAGUGUGAUAAAUGAUUAUAUAUGCAGGUUAUUCUAUUUCUCAAGUACCAACGCAUAGAAGCGUUGCAUGAAUCUGUUGUUGCUUUUGCAACACAUUAUUUCCCAGAUUACCAAUGGAUCUAUAUACGUUGUUGUAGAUCCUUGCAACGCCACCAAGAACAACACAUAUGAAUCCGUUGGUGUAGACCGUAGCAACGCUUAUACGGACAAAUGACAACGCAUCUAUGUGUUGCCGAAGGGGGGGUUUUCUUGUAGUGAAAUUGCUAGAGUAAUACAACAUGAUGUUGUUGAAUCUGAUGAUGAGCUUGAAACUGAAACUCCUGAAACACCUGCUAGAACUAGCCUUCCUAGAUAUGAAUUGCCUAAGGUACCGGAAGGUUAUGUUAUGAAUGAGGAUACAACUAAAGAUAUUCUUGCUUGUAGGAAUAGAGAUGCUCUAGAGAGAUUAUUAUGCAAGUAUAAAGAAAAAUCUCUGAAUGCUAGAAUGAAAUGUGAUCCUAAGUUUGCUACUUCACCUAUCUUUAUUGAUGAUAAGGAUUAUGAAUUCUCUGUCGACCCAGAGUUAAUUACUUUGGUUGAAUCUGAUCCUUUCCAUGGUUAUGAAACUAAAACUGUUGGGGUACAUCUUACUAAGUUGAAUGACAUAGCCACCCUUUUUACUCAUGAUGAGAAGACUCGCUAUUACUUUAUUCUCAAAUUAUUUCCUUUCUCAUUAAAGGGUGAUGCUAAAGCUUGGUACAAUACUGUAACGCCCCGGACCCGAUGCGCCAGGUGUCUGCGAGUUAUUCGCCGUCCUUGCCUUGUCAUCUGCUUGCGUGUUGCAUUUUGCCAUGUCAUCAUAUACAUUGCAUCUCAUAUCAUGUCAUCAUGUGCAUUGCAUUUGCAUACGUGUUCGUCUCAUGCAUCCGAGCAUUUUCCCCGUUGUCCGUUUUGCAAUCCGGCAUUCCCACCUCCUCCGGCGCACCCCCUCUUGUUUCUUUUCGUGAGCAGGUGUUGAACAUUCUCGGAAUGGACCGAGUCUUGCAAAGUGGCCUUGGUAUACCACCAGUAGGCCACCGGUCAAGUUUCAUUCCAUUUGGAGGUCAUUUGGUGCUCCAACGGUUAACCGGGCAACCGCAAAGUCCGUUUGUGUGUUGCAGCAAAACCCCCCUUCAAACAGCCCAAAACCCCUCUAAGUCUCCAAAAUGCUCUCGGUCGUUCGAUCACGAUCGCGUGGGCGAAAACCGCACCUCAUUUGGACUCUCCUAGCUCCCUCUACCUAUAAAUAGGUGCCCAUCCCCGAUUAUUCGCGCAGAUGAACCCCUAGCCCUCUCCCUCCUCGCGCCGCCGGACAUGUCCGCCCGGCGGCCGGACGCGUCCACGCCGCCCAGCCACGUCGCGCCAACCAAUGGCAUGCUGCCACGUCAUCGCCGCCACCUCCCGCACCAACCGCAGCGCGCCACAUGGCCUUCCGCGUCGUCCCCGCCGCCGCGGCCCGCCGGGCCCAGGCGCGGCCCGCCCAGGCCCGCGCGGCCGCCCGUCCGCCUCGCCGCGCCCCCGCGCGUCCCCGCUCGCNNNNNNNNNNCCCGCCUCCUCCGCCGGCCUCCGUUCCCCGCCGCCAUGGCGCCCACGCCUCUGCCACCUCCAGUCGGCCCUCACCGGAGCCGAACGCGCCACCCCUCCCCGCCGCCUCGCCGUUCGACGUCGCCACGCCGCCGCCCUGCUCCUCGGCGUCCGCGCCCCGGCCGGAUCCGGCGCCCCCUCGCCGGCGCUGCUCCGUCUCCGGCCGCCUCCCUCUUCUCCGGUCCCGCCUCGAUUUGCGAGCCUCGGCCCGAUCCAAUCACUAGGUUGACCCCGAGAUCCCCCCGGAAUAUUUCCAAGUCCUAUGCAUUUUGCAAUAUCUUGCUAUGUUCAACGCAUCGUAACUCUGUGCAUAUAGCUCUGUUUCGCGCGUGUGAUAUAUCGAAAUGUUCGUCUCGUGAUGCUCUACAUUUUGUUCCAUUGCACCAUGUUCAUUAGAGUCUAGCUUGACACCCAAAUCUCUGGUACAAGAGUGCUAGUUGCUGUUAUCUGCUGUUACUUAUCAGAACUUGGUGAUUUGUUAUUUUUGUUACAUUUAAUCUGUGCAUCUUAUGGGCAUGAGCUCUACAUGCGUUCUGUUGUAUGCCAUGCCAUCUUUCCUGUGGUGUAUGCCAUGUAUAUUUGUGAUCUCUGUGGUUACUAGCACAAGCAUGCAAACUAGGCCCCGUAAUGUUUCUGAUUUCAGGGACCGUAAUUUCUCCAAGUCCUUGUCUGCUGUUAUUUUGUUGCCAUGUAAACUUGAUGCUACAGAGAGAUCCGUGCAUAUUUUGGAGAUGUUCAGUAAGGAUGUUUUGUAGAUAUUGUUGUAAUUGAUCCAUUCCUGCCCUUGUUUGCAAUUAUAGAGUGCCAUAGCAUGACUCAAUCUUUCUCUACUUUUGCUAUAAAAUAUUUCUGGCAGAUUGUUUACGUGUUAUUCAAUUUUGCCAAGCUUGUUGUAGUUGUUUCAUUCAUGAUCUGUACUUGAUCUUGCCAUGGAUAGCUUCAUAAACAUUCCAUCUUUCUGUAGGUAUGCUUGUUUUGUCAUGCAUUGCUUUGUGAUGAGUGCAUCAAGCUCACCAAGAUGCCUUCAUAUGACUGUUUGCUACUGCCGCUGAUUGUAUGUCGAUGCUGCUGAUUUUGCUACUCCUUAGUUCCUAUACAGUAGAUAGAAGAUAAUUGUGUCUGACCUGAUUGUUUGCUAUCGCCGCUGGUUGCUAUUGCUCCUGCUGCUGAUUGCUAUUGCCGUUGCUUCCGAUUUUGCUGCUCCUUGGUACCUACAGUAGAUAGAAGAUAAUAUGCAUUCCCAAAUAAAAAAUAUAGAAGACCUCUAUGUUUUAAUAUUCUUGCAAAUUUAACCAACUACUUAUUAUCUCUUCUCUAAACUUUCUCUUGAUCAGUUUCUCUUUUAUGUUGUCCAUUGCAAAUAUUAUUCAAUAUGUACAAUGCGUACAAUAAUAAUCAUGGAACCCUCUAGCUCCUUAUUGGUUCCAUGGUCCCUUUUCCUUGGAAUUGGUAGUAGUAUUAUUUGUUCCACCUGUAUCUCAUCAUGUGAUUUUUUUUUUCCUUGCAAUCUUUGUGCCUCCAAGAUGUCAGCUAUCAGUCUGUCAGUAUCUAAAUAAAUGCAGUAACCAUGAUGUUGGUAUGAAACUGUCCUACAGGCCAGGUUUUGAACUAUUGACAAUAGAUGCGCAGGUCGAUAAGAUUGUGUUAAAUCAUUAGCUUGCCAUGGGUGAUUGUGUAAUGGAUUAACUUGCUUUAAUGGAAUGCAGAUUCAGGAGCAAAUGGGAAUGUACAGCUUAUGACAUAAUCGUAGAAAGUUGGGCAACCCAUUCGCUUACUUGAUAAACCCUCCCCUGGUUCAGGCCACUAAGUUGUCCAUUUCCUUAUCUCUCCUCAUGAAGUAGCAUUCUUAUUUAUUUGAUAUCCUCUAUUUUUACACUAACUGGUCCAGCAAGUCUUUGUUAGUUAAGUGUGCCAAUAUAUGUCUAUUUUUUCUGGUCUUAACUUUUGUUCAGGCCUAUAUUUUGUAGAUUCAUAUAGGUAUUGAUAUUCAGGUAUUUCAAUGACAUGACAAAUGAUACAAGAUUAGGGAGCUGAGUUGUGACCAAAGAUCAAAUCCUCCUAGUUAUAUGAUAUGCUAUAUUGGCUGCAAAGGCACAUGGGUAGUGUUUCUUAAAAUUGGGUAAGUACUGACAUAAAUUGUUCAUCCAUUACUUAGGGUUGCUUUUAUUCAGAUUGUUCAACCAUUACAUAGGUCGCCCCUGAUGCAUUUUCUUAAAUAUACAUUCAUCUUACUGCUAGGUUGGUCUUGAAGAAUUAAAUAGUGUUGCAUUAAGUUAUUUUUAUUUCCCUGUAAACACCUUGGAUCCUACCUUCUCUAGAAACAAAACUGCACUACUUUUUCCUAGAGAAGCCCAAAUCUAAAGAAGUGUUUCUUUUUCAUGUUGUUUCUUCAACUAGUUCUAAGAGUUUUAUUCUUGAUUAAGAAAUUAUAAUGUGACAUUGUAGUUCUCAGGUAACUAUGAAGUUUUGUGUGAUGUAGAUUAGUUAAUGAUUUUGAGCUGUUAGCAUUGAGUUAUUUUCUCCUAAUAUAUCAUACCAAGCAUGAGCAGUACGUGAGUAAUGGUGACACUAAACUACUUAAUGCUGAGACCUUCAGAAAAUGUAAAUAUCCAAUUUUGUAUAGUCGAUAUUAUUGCUUACCAAAUCAUCAUUUAGUUGGUUGCUGAAUUCAUCUCAUUGUUGAUAUAAUAUAAUCUUUGGGUAACUGUUAAUAGUGAAUACAUGUUGCUGGCUGUUCGCAGUGAACAGGCACACCCGAUUGGUCGAAGAUAAUCAGUAUUUUAACAUGUCCUCCUACUAAGUUAUUUGUCAAACAUACAUAAGAUUAUGUCUUUCCCCCCAACAAUCUUUUCUUGCACACUUUGUAAUUUUUAUGUGGAUCCUUUUGGGUACAGUGCAUAGUAUGUAUAUGUUUAAACUUCAUUUCGUAUUUGGGCCUAAAUAGUAUUAUGAUUUUUCCUUGUAGGUUGAGAAUUUCAAUACAAGAUGAUUACUCAGAUCUUUUGGAACGUAUGAUGAUUGUUGGUACUUGGAGGAGAAACAAGACAGUUCUCUUAUUGAUGAUACUUCCAUUGUAGUCUAACAGAUUGUUCCAUUGAAUCAAUAUAUCAUUUUCAUUUCUACUCCACUGAAUUUUACUAAAGUUGUACCUUGUACUGCCAUUCAAACUACCUACUGUUACAAAUGAUUAUAUAUGGAGGUUAUUCUAUUUUGCAAGCACCAGAGCAUAGAGCAACAGUGUGAUAAAUGAUUAUAUAUGCAGGUUAUUCUAUUUCUCAAGUACCAACGCAUAGAAGCGUUGCAUGAAUCUGUUGUUGCUUUUGCAACACAUUAUUUCCCAGAUUACCAAUGGAUCUAUAUACGUUGUUGUAGAUCCUUGCAACGCCACCAAGAACAACACAUAUGAAUCCGUUGGUGUAGACCGUAGCAACGCUUAUACGGACAAAUGACAACGCAUCUAUGUGUUGCCGAAGGGGGGGUUUUCUUGUAGUGAAAUUGCUAGAGUAAUACAACAUGAUGUUGUUGAAUCUGAUGAUGAGCUUGAAACUGAAACUCCUGAAACACCUGCUAGAACUAGCCUUCCUAGAUAUGAAUUGCCUAAGGUACCGGAAGGUUAUGUUAUGAAUGAGGAUACAACUAAAGAUAUUCUUGCUUGUAGGAAUAGAGAUGCUCUAGAGAGAUUAUUAUGCAAGUAUAAAGAAAAAUCUCUGAAUGCUAGAAUGAAAUGUGAUCCUAAGUUUGCUACUUCACCUAUCUUUAUUGAUGAUAAGGAUUAUGAAUUCUCUGUCGACCCAGAGUUAAUUACUUUGGUUGAAUCUGAUCCUUUCCAUGGUUAUGAAACUAAAACUGUUGGGGUACAUCUUACUAAGUUGAAUGACAUAGCCACCCUUUUUACUCAUGAUGAGAAGACUCGCUAUUACUUUAUUCUCAAAUUAUUUCCUUUCUCAUUAAAGGGUGAUGCUAAAGCUUGGUACAAUACUGUAACGCCCCGGACCCGAUGCGCCAGGUGUCUGCGAGUUAUUCGCCGUCCUUGCCUUGUCAUCUGCUUGCGUGUUGCAUUUUGCCAUGUCAUCAUAUACAUUGCAUCUCAUAUCAUGUCAUCAUGUGCAUUGCAUUUGCAUACGUGUUCGUCUCAUGCAUCCGAGCAUUUUCCCCGUUGUCCGUUUUGCAAUCCGGCAUUCCCACCUCCUCCGGCGCACCCCCUCUUGUUUCUUUUCGUGAGCAGGUGUUGAACAUUCUCGGAAUGGACCGAGUCUUGCAAAGUGGCCUUGGUAUACCACCAGUAGGCCACCGGUCAAGUUUCAUUCCAUUUGGAGGUCAUUUGGUGCUCCAACGGUUAACCGGGCAACCGCAAAGUCCGUUUGUGUGUUGCAGCAAAACCCCCCUUCAAACAGCCCAAAACCCCUCUAAGUCUCCAAAAUGCUCUCGGUCGUUCGAUCACGAUCGCGUGGGCGAAAACCGCACCUCAUUUGGACUCUCCUAGCUCCCUCUACCUAUAAAUAGGUGCCCAUCCCCGAUUAUUCGCGCAGAUGAACCCCUAGCCCUCUCCCUCCUCGCGCCGCCGGACAUGUCCGCCCGGCGGCCGGACGCGUCCACGCCGCCCAGCCACGUCGCGCCAACCAAUGGCAUGCUGCCACGUCAUCGCCGCCACCUCCCGCACCAACCGCAGCGCGCCACAUGGCCUUCCGCGUCGUCCCCGCCGCCGCGGCCCGCCGGGCCCAGGCGCGGCCCGCCCAGGCCCGCGCGGCCGCCCGUCCGCCUCGCCGCGCCCCCGCGCGUCCCCGCUCGCNNNNNNNNNNCCCGCCUCCUCCGCCGGCCUCCGUUCCCCGCCGCCAUGGCGCCCACGCCUCUGCCACCUCCAGUCGGCCCUCACCGGAGCCGAACGCGCCACCCCUCCCCGCCGCCUCGCCGUUCGACGUCGCCACGCCGCCGCCCUGCUCCUCGGCGUCCGCGCCCCGGCCGGAUCCGGCGCCCCCUCGCCGGCGCUGCUCCGUCUCCGGCCGCCUCCCUCUUCUCCGGUCCCGCCUCGAUUUGCGAGCCUCGGCCCGAUCCAAUCACUAGGUUGACCCCGAGAUCCCCCCGGAAUAUUUCCAAGUCCUAUGCAUUUUGCAAUAUCUUGCUAUGUUCAACGCAUCGUAACUCUGUGCAUAUAGCUCUGUUUCGCGCGUGUGAUAUAUCGAAAUGUUCGUCUCGUGAUGCUCUACAUUUUGUUCCAUUGCACCAUGUUCAUUAGAGUCUAGCUUGACACCCAAAUCUCUGGUACAAGAGUGCUAGUUGCUGUUAUCUGCUGUUACUUAUCAGAACUUGGUGAUUUGUUAUUUUUGUUACAUUUAAUCUGUGCAUCUUAUGGGCAUGAGCUCUACAUGCGUUCUGUUGUAUGCCAUGCCAUCUUUCCUGUGGUGUAUGCCAUGUAUAUUUGUGAUCUCUGUGGUUACUAGCACAAGCAUGCAAACUAGGCCCCGUAAUGUUUCUGAUUUCAGGGACCGUAAUUUCUCCAAGUCCUUGUCUGCUGUUAUUUUGUUGCCAUGUAAACUUGAUGCUACAGAGAGAUCCGUGCAUAUUUUGGAGAUGUUCAGUAAGGAUGUUUUGUAGAUAUUGUUGUAAUUGAUCCAUUCCUGCCCUUGUUUGCAAUUAUAGAGUGCCAUAGCAUGACUCAAUCUUUCUCUACUUUUGCUAUAAAAUAUUUCUGGCAGAUUGUUUACGUGUUAUUCAAUUUUGCCAAGCUUGUUGUAGUUGUUUCAUUCAUGAUCUGUACUUGAUCUUGCCAUGGAUAGCUUCAUAAACAUUCCAUCUUUCUGUAGGUAUGCUUGUUUUGUCAUGCAUUGCUUUGUGAUGAGUGCAUCAAGCUCACCAAGAUGCCUUCAUAUGACUGUUUCUGCCAUGCUCUGUUUUCUGCUAAGUCUGUAACCUGUUAACGAAACUUGCUAUGUUUACAUGGUUGCCAUCAUAUCUUAUGGUCCUUUUUGGCUUAUGGUCAGUAAGAGACUUUUAUCAUAUGCAUUUGGUAGAUUCAUGCCAUGCCUUGUUUUGCCAUGUUAAGUUCCUGUAGCAUGUUGAUUUCGUGCUCUGAACAUUGCUACCUGAUGUUAUUUCUGUCAUGUCCAGUAAUUUCUGCCAAGUCUGUGAACCUGUUAUUAUUUGCAAUCUUGCCAUGUCCUUUUGAGCAUGUUCUAGUGAUUUCUGGAGAUAUCUUAGUGUUCAUGUUUUCUUGUGCUUACCUGUACAUCAUGUCCAUGCCUUUUGUUUUCAUGUUGAGUUGCUGUAGCAUAUUGUUUUGAUGAUUUCUAUAUGCCUAGUUGUUGUUUUGGACAGAUUGUUGCUAUGACUUGUUUGGAGUGUAUGUGUUGCACCGUAGCUUCGUUUUGAGCAUGCUCUAUAUGAAACUUGCUUAGUUUUGCAUGUAGUCUCAUAUUAUCAUGUUGCAUCCUCGUUUUGAGGUGUUUGAUUGAUGUUUGUAUGCAUUUGGCAUCAAUGCCAUGUUUAACUUGUUUUGCUCAUAUCUUCUAGGCCGUAGCUCCGAAUCUAAUGAACUUUAUAUGUAACUUGACUAGAAUUUCACGUAGAUCAUCAUGGUGCUCUUUAACUUGCUAUUUAACAACUUCAACUUAAUGUUUGUUCAGUUCUGGACCAAUUUCGAAAUGUCUGGGAUCUCAUUACUAUCAUUGCUAUGCUAGUUGCUUCGUUCCAUCGCUAUGCGGCAUUACCUAUCACUUGCUCUUCAAGCCUCCCAAAUUUCCAUGAACCUCUAACCUUUGUCACCCUUCCUAGCAAACCGUUGUUUGGCUAUGUUACCGCUUUGCUCAGCCCCUCUUAUAACGUUGCUAGUUGCAGGUGAAGAUGAAGAUUGCUCCAUGUUGGGUUAUGUUUAUGUUGGGAUAUCACAAUAUCUCUUAUAUUAUUAAUGCAUCUAUAUACUUGGUAAAGGGUGGAAGGCUCGGCCUUAUGCCUGGUGUUUUGUUCCACUCUUGCCGCCCUAGUUUCCGUCAUACCGGUGUUAUGUUCCUUGAUUUUGCGUCCCUUACGCGGUUGGGUGAUUUAUGAGACCCCCUUGACAGUUCGCUUUGAAUAAAACUCUUCCAGCAAGGCCCAACCUUGGUUUUACAUUUGCCUCACCUAGCCUUUUUCCCUUGGGAGUCGCGCUCUCGAGGGUCAUCUUCAUUUUACCCCCCCCCCCACGGGGCCAGUGCUUCUCCAAGUGCUGGUCCAAACCGAGCGAUGUCCGGCGCCCCCUGGGCAACCAGGGUCUAUGCCAACCCGACGUCUGGCUCAUCCGGUGUUCCCUGAGAACGAGAUAUGUGCAGCUCCUAUCGGGAUUUGUCGGCACAUCCGGGCGGCUUUGCUGGUUUUGUUUUACCAUCGUCGAAAUGUCUUGUAACCGGGAUUCCGAGACUGAUCGGGUCUUCCCGGGAGAAGGAAUAUCCUUCGUUGACCGUGAGAGCUUAUAAUGGGCUAAGUGGGGACACCCCUGCAGGGUAUUAUCUUUCGAAAGCCGUGCCCGCGGUUAUGUGGCAGAUGGGAAUUUGUUAAUAUCCGGUUGUAGAGAACUUGACACUUGACCUUAAUUAAAACGCAUCAACCGCGUGUGUAGCCGUGAUGGUCUCUUCUCGGCGGAGUCCGAGAAGUGAACACGGUUUAUGGGUUAUGUUUGACGUAAGUAGGAGUUCAGGAUCACUUCUUGAUCAUUGCUAGUUUCACGACCGUUCCUUUGCUUCUCUUCUCGCUCUUAUUUGCGUAAGUUAGCCACCAUACAUGCUUAGUCGCUGCUACAACCUCACCACUUUACCCCUUCCUUUCCCAUUAAGCUUUGCUAGUCUUGAUACCCAUGGUAAUGGGAUUGCUGAGUCCUUGUGGCUCACAGAUUACUAUGACACCAGUUGCAGGUACAGGUUUUGCGAUGAUCAUGACGCGAGAGCGAUGUUUACCUGUUUCGGAGUUCUUCUUCUGCUUCUUCUUCAAUCAGGGGAUAGGUUCCAGGUCGGCAGCCUGGGCUAGCAGGGUGGUUGUCGUUUGAGCUUCUGUUUGUGUUUCAUCCGUAGUCGGAUGUUGAUCUUAUGUAUGAUGUAUUGAUGCAUUCUUGCGGCAUUUGUAUGCCUUGUAUGUAUCCCCAUAUAUUAUGAAAUGUCGAUGUAAUGAUAUCCACCUUGCAAAAGCGUUUCAAUAUGUGGGUCUAUCCUUGGUGGGACCUUCGAGUUCCUUUAGGAUAGGGUCGCAUAUUGGGCGUGACAAGUUGGUAUCAGAGCCUCGACCGACCAUAGGAGCCCCCCCUUGAUUGAUCGUGUAGUUUGGGCGUUGUUGAGUCUAGAAGAAAUUUUUUCGGAGUCUAGUUAUAUCGGAGAGUAGGAAUUCUUUUUACUCCUCUGCCCCUUCGUCGCUCUGAUGAGAAAUCUUGACGUAGGUGUUUUGAACUAUUCCUAUUCCCCUUCAAAUUUUUCUUAGGAUCACGUGGUUAGUUUUCGUUCGUUGUCCAUCCUCUUUUCAAUCCGGCGCAUUUCUCUUCGAGUGUUUUCGAUCCUCGUCAUCUUUUGCUAGAUUAAUCCUCAUCUCUUUUCAACCGAUGUCAUUUUCCCUGUCCGAAGUUGUUCUUGUUUUUUCCCACCCGCCCACCCUUUUCCUUCUCGGAACCGGAGUCCGCAAUUGAGUAUCCAUCCUACUCGUGCGAAGUCCUUGCUUUCUUUCCUCAAUGAUUUCAACCGGUGUUUUCUUUUCAAAGUUAUUCAUCGAUUUCCCCUUCCAAGUUGCUUUUGUUUUCCCGCCCUCCCACUCUUUUUAUUCCCGGAAUCUGAGCCGCUAUUCAAGCAUCUAUUUCGAGUAUCUUCAGUCUUUCCUCAAUUAUUUCAACCGGUGAAUUCUUGUCAAGUUCAUCAUUGUUUUGUCUUGUUUUCUUCUCCGGUGGAUUCAAUUCCAAUUUUUGGUAGUAACUAUAUUCUUUCCUCGGCUCAAAUGUUUCCCGUUGCUCGUUCCGGAGUGAUGAAGACAUCUCAGGAGAGUUGUCUGUGUUCGAAUUAAAUUCGAGGUUGUCACCUCAUUCAAAUAUUUCAAUUGUUCCGGUGCAUCAUCUAUCUCUUCAACAAUCCUUUUCAACGGUGUUUUCUAUUCAGUGGGCCCUAACCCACAGGUCUUUUCCCAGGAUCUUACCUGACUCUUCUAAUUUUCCCGGAGUUAUUGUAAAAAAAAUUAGAAGUGUGAUGUAAGUAUGAUUUUCAUCAGUCAGACAUUUUUCCAAGAUCAAUUUCAAAUUAUUUUCAUUGUUGGCUCAACCUCUUCACUUUUCAUUCUCCCGGAGUAUCUCAUCAAUUUUGGUGUUCUUUUUCGUCGUCAUUCUCAACUUUUGAGGACCGAAGAAGAGUUUCUUUUAAAUCUUGCCCGUUCUCUCGGAGAUUCGUGAUGCUAGCUUCUUGUUAUCCUCUCAAAUUGUUUCUAGUCGUGCACUCCUUUUCACCCAUCCGGAGUAUUUCAGGAGUUGUUUCCGUCUCAAUUAUCCGGAGGCCUCCAUUUCAGAACAUUUCUUCUUCCUAAGUUUUCAGAUUCGGUCUCCAAUUAUUCUAUAUUCGUGCCCCUUCGUUCAUUUACAUAUUCUUCCGGUGCUUCGUUCAAGUAUGCUUCAAUCAGCUCGCGAUCUUUUCUUUCAAUUGCAUUUUGAUUCCCUCAAGUAUAUUCGUGCUUUUCCUAUUUUUUCCCAGUGAUUCAUUCUCUUUCGUCAUUCAAUUUUGAAUUCUAACGGUGGUUCGUUCAAGACCCCUUGUCAUUUGUAAUCAUAUCAAUUAACUCGUUCUUUCCAAAUCCUACCGGUGGUUCACGAAGACUUUCUCAAGUUUUGCGCUAUUUUUCCCUUAAUCUUUCCAACGAGAAUAAGUAGUAUGCAAAUCUAGGGUAUCUCAUCAAUUUAAUUGGUGGAGGACAAGCUUAACGUAAUUCUUAUUCUUCUUUCUUCAUGUGGAUUAAUCUUUUCUUUUCGGAGAUUGAUCAUCUCAUCACUUUCUCGGUUCAAGUGUUUUCAUUUUUUUUCUCUUUUCCGGAGUUCCAAGCGUCCUCGGCCGUCUCGUCGGAACCUCCAUCUAAAUCAUCGCAAGACUCAGAGCUUAUGCUAUUCUUCCUUCUAUUUUAUCUCGGCAUUCUUUUGUUACCGGAGUUCUUCACGGUGGCUCGUCAUGAUUUAAUUCUUUCCUCAAGUGUUCAUCAAGAUUCUUGUUGAAGGAGUUCUAGUAUCCUUCCUUCUUGCUUUUCGAAGUGCAAUUAAUUCUCCGUAUUCUUUUGAAGUGGAGUUUGCGUUUCUUCGUUCUUCUCAGCUAUCCAAUCAUUUCCGUUUGUGGCCGGUUAUCACCUUAUGAUCUUGAGUUGUUACCUAUAAGACCACAACAAGAUUAUUCUUUCAUUGUUGUUUUUCUCAACAAUUACGUUCAAUGUUUCCUUCUAAGGAUGCUCUCUAUUUCACUCGUGGCACAAUUUGUCAUUUUCUUCUCCAUUAUUCUCAUUCCACUCUUUCAAGUCUUCCGGAGGUUUUGUGUUGUUCCUCAAGUCAAGUAUCGUUCCAUUUCUCAAGUUCAUGUUCUAUUCUUUCCUUGUUCAGCCGGAGUGCCGCAUAAAUUAUGUCGUUCUUAUUCCUUUUUCUAUCUUCUUCCAACCGGAGUGGUUUCAAAUUCAGUCUUAUUCCUUGAUAUUUUGCUUCUUUUCUCAUUCAACAUUCCUCUUUUCUUCUCGAGUGUUCUUGACCUUGUUCAUCCUCACUGUUUUGUUCUUAUUUCACCUCAUUCCCUUUCCUUCCGUCUUGGUGCUAAGAUCUCGGGACGAGAUCUCUUGUUAGUGGAGGAGUGUUGUAACGCCCCGGACCCGAUGCGCCAGGUGUCUGCGAGUUAUUCGCCGUCCUUGCCUUGUCAUCUGCUUGCGUGUUGCAUUUUGCCAUGUCAUCAUAUACAUUGCAUCUCAUAUCAUGUCAUCAUGUGCAUUGCAUUUGCAUACGUGUUCGUCUCAUGCAUCCGAGCAUUUUCCCCGUUGUCCGUUUUGCAAUCCGGCACUCCCACCUCCUCCGGCGCACCCCCUCUUGUUUCUUUUCGUGAGCAGGUGUUGAACGUUCUCGGAAUGGACCGAAUCUUGCAAAGUGGCCUUGGUAUACCACCGGUAGGCCACCGGUCAAGUUUUGUUCCAUUUGGAGGUCGUUUGGUGCUCCAACGGUUAACCGGGCAACCGCAAAGUCCGUUUGUGUGUUGCAGCAAAAGCCCCCUUCAAACAGCCCAAAACCCUUCUAAGUCUCCACCAUUCUCUCGGUCGUUCGAUCAUGAUCGCGUGGGCGAAAACCGCACCUCAUUUGGACUCUCCUAGCUCCCUCUACAUAUAAAUAGGUGCCCAUCCCCGAUUAUUCGCGCAAAUGAACCCCUAGCCCUCUCCCUCCUCGCGCCGCCGGACAUGUCCGCCCGGCGGCCGAACGCGUCCACCGCCGCCCAGCCACGUCGCGCCAACCAAUGGCAUGCUGCCACGUCAUCGCCGCCACCUCCCGCACCAACCGCAGCGCGCCACAUGGCCUCCCGCGCCGUCCCCGCCGCCGCGGCCCGCCCAGGCCCGCGNNNNNNNNNNNNNNNNNNNNNNNNNNNNNNNNNNNNNNNNNNNNNNNNNNNNNNNNNNNNNNNNNNNNNNNNNNNNNNNNNNNNNNNNNNNNNNNNNNNNNNNNNNNNNNNNNNNNNNNNNNNNNNNNNNNNNNNNNNNNNNNNNNNNNNNNNNNNNNNNNNNNNNNNNNNNNNNNNNNNNNNNNNNNNNNNNNNNNNNNNNNNNNNNNNNNNNNNNNNNNNNNNNNNNNNNNNNNNNNNNNNNNNNNNNNNNNNNNNNNNNNNNNNNNNNNNNNNNNNNNNNNNNNNNNNNNNNNNNNNNNNNNNNNNNNNNNNNNNNNNNNNNNNNNNNNNNNNNNNNNNNNNNNNNNNNNNNNNNNNNNNNNNNNNNNNNNNNNNNNNNNNNNNNNNNNNNNNNNNNNNNNNNNNNNNNNNNNNNNNNNNNNNNNNNNNNNNNNNNNNNNNNNNNNNNNNNNNNNNNNNNNNNNNNNNNNNNNNNNNNNNNNNNNNNNNNNNNNNNNNNNNNNNNNNNNNNNNNNNNNNNNNNNNNNNNCCCCUCCCCGCCGCCUCGUCGUUCGACGUCGCCACGCCGCCGCCCUGCUCCUCGGCGUCCGCGCCCCGGCCGGAUCCGACGCCCCCUCGCCGGCGCUGCUCCGUCUCCGGACGCCUCCCUCUUCUCCGGCCCCGCCUCGAUCUGCGAGCCUCGGCCCGAUCCAAUCACUAGGUUGACCCCGAGAUCCCCCCGGAAUAUUUCCAAGUCCUAUGCAUUUUGCAGUAUCUUGCUAUGUUCAACGCAUCGUAACUCUGUGCAUAUAGCUCUGUUUCGCGCGUGUCAUAUAUCGAAAUGUUUGUCUCGGGAUGCUCUACAUUUUGUUCCAUUGCACCAUGUUCAUUAGAGUCCAUCUUGAUGCCCAAAUCUCUGGUGCAAGAGUGCUAGUUGCUGUUAUCUGCUGUUACUUAUCAGAACUUGGUGAUUUGUUAUUUUUGUUACAUUUAAUCUGUGCAUCUUAUGGGCAUGAGCUCUACAUGUGUUUUGUUGUAUGCCAUGCCAUCUUUCCAGUGGUGUAUGCCAUGUAUAUUUGUGAUCUCUGUGGUGACUAGCACAAGCAUGCAAACUAGGCCCCGUGAUGUUUCUGAUUUCAGGGACUUCGUAAUUUCUCCAAGUCUUUGUCUGCUGUUAUUUUGUUGCCAUGUAAACUUGAUGCUACAGAGAGAUCCGUGCAUAUUUUGGAGACGUUCAGUAAGGAUAUUUUGUAGAUAUUGUUGUAAUUCAUCCUUUCGUGCCCUUGUUUGCAAUUAUACAGUGCCAUAGCAUGACUCAAUAUUUCUCUACUUUUGCUAUAAAAUAUUUCUGGCAGAUUGUUUACGUGUUAUUCAAUUUUGCCAAGCUUGUUGUAGUUGUUUCAUUCAUGAUUUGUACUUGAUCUUGCCAUGGAUAGCUUCAUAAACAUGCCAUCUUGCUGUAGGUAUGCUUGUUUUUUCAUGCAUUGCUUUGUGAUGAGUGCAUCAAGCUCACCAAGAUGCCUUCAUAUGACUGUUUCUGCCAUGCUCUGUUUUCUGCCAAGUCUGUAACCUGUUAACGAAACUUGCUAUGUUUACAUGGUUGCCAUCAUAUCUUCUGUUCCUUUUUAGCUUAUCGUCAGUAAGGGAAUUUUGUCAUAUGCAUUUAGUAGAUUCAUGCCAUGCCUUGUUUUGCCAUGUUAAGUUCCUUUAGCAUAUUGAUUUCGUGCUCUGAACAUUGCUACCUGAUGUUAUUUCUGCCAUGUCCAGUAAUUUCUGCCAAGUCUGUGAACCUGUUAUUAUUUGCAAUCUUGUCAUGUCCUUUUGAGCAUGUUCUAGUGAUUUCUGGAGAUAUCUCAGUAUUCAUGUUUUGUUGUGCUUUACCUGUACAUCAUGUCCAUGCCUUUUGUUUUCAUGUUGAGUUGUUGUAGCAUAUUGUUUUGAUGAUUUUUAUAUGCCUAGUUGCUGUUUUGGACAGAUUGUUGCUAUGACUUGUUUGGAGUGUAUGUGUUGCACCGUAGCUCCGUUUUGAGCAUGCUCUAUAUGAAACUUGCUUAGUUUUGCAUGUAGUCUCAUAUUAUCAUGUUACAUCCUCGUUUUGAGGUGUUUGCUUGAUGUUUAUAUGCAUUUGGCAUCAAUGCCAUGUUUAACUUGUUUUGCUCAUAUCUUCUAGGCCGUAGCUCCAAAUCUAAUGAACUUUAUAUUUAACUUGACUAGAAUUUUGCGUAGAUCAUCAUGGUGCUCUUUAACUUGCUAUUUAACAACUUCAACUUAAUGCUUGUUCAGUUCUGGACCAAUUUCGAAAUUUGCAUACGAGGACUUGCCGGAAUUGUUAUAUGUUGUUUCCGGCCUCAUUUAAACUUGCCUUGAUGUGAUGUUCUUGUAUGCAUCAUCUCUUGCCGUGUGUAGUUUCAUAUAGCCUUGUCUUGCAUCAUACUUGGUUGAGCAUCAUGCCUUGUUCAUGUGUGGUGUGUUUACCUUGUUGUGUGCUUCUUCUCGAUAGUUCCCGUGUCGUUGCGAUCGUGAGGAUUCGUUCAUCUUCGUGGCUUCAUGUUCUUCAUGGAUUCGUUCUUCUUCCUAGCGGGAUUUCAAGCAAGAUGACCGUCACCUUGGAUCUCAUUACUAUCAUUGAUAUGCUAGUUGCUUUGUUCUAUCGCUAUGCCGCAUUUCCUAUCACUUGCUCUUCAAGCCUCCCAAAUUUCCAUGAACCUCUAACCUUUGUCACCCUUCCUAGCAAACCAUUGUUUGGCUAUGUUACCGCUUUGCUCAGCCCCUCUUAUAGCGUUGCUAGUUGCAGGUGAAGAUGAAGAUUGCUCCAUGUUGGAUUAUGUUUAUGUUGGGAUAUCACAAUAUCUCUUAUAUUAUUAAUGCAUCUAUAUACUUGGUAAAGGGUGGAAGGCUCGGCCUUAUGCCUGGUGUUUUGUUCCACUCUUGCCGCCCUAGUUUCCGUCAUACCGGUGUUAUGUUCCNNNNNNNNNNNNNNNNNNNNNNNNNNNNNNNNNNNNNNNNNNNNNNNNNNNNNNNNNNNNNNNNNNNNNNNNNNNNNNNNNNNNNNNNNNNNNNNNNNNNNNNNNNNNNNNNNNNNNNNNNNNNNNNNNNNNNNNNNNNNNNNNNNNNNNNNNNNNNNNNNNNNNNNNNNNNNNNNNNNNNNNNNNNNNNNNNNNNNNNNNNNNNNNNNNNNNNNNNNNNNNNNNNNNNNNNNNNAGUGCUGGUCCAAACCAAGCGAUGUCCGGCGCCCCCUGGGCAACCAGGGUCUAUGCCAACCCGACGUCUGGCUCAUCCGGUGUGCCCUGAGAACGAGAUAUGUGCAGCUCCUAUCGGGAUUUGUCGGCACAUCCGGGCGGCUUUGCUCGUUUUGUUUUACCAUCGUCGAAAUGUCUUGUAACCGGUAUUCUGAGACUGAUUGGGUCUUCCUGGGAGAAGGAAUAUCCUUCGUUGACCGUGAGAGCUUAUAAUGGGCUAAGUUGGGACACCCCUGCAGGGUAUUAUCUUUCGAAAGCCGUGCCCGCGGUUAUGUGGCAGAUGGGAAUUUGUUAAUAUCCGGUUGUAGAGAACUUGACACUUGACCUUAAUUAAAACGCAUCAACCGCGUGUGUAGCCGUGAUGGUCUCUUCUCGGCGGAGUCCGGGAAGUGAACACGGUUUAUGGGUUAUGUUUGACGUAAGUAGGAGUUCAGGAUCACUUCUUGAUCAUUGCUAGUUUCACGACCGUUCCUUUGCUUCUCUUCUCGCUCUUAUUUGCGUAAGUUAGCCACCAUACAUGCUUAGUCGGUGCUGCAACCUCACCACUUUACCCCUUCCUUUCCCAUUAAGCUUUGCUAGUCUUGAUACCCAUGGUAAUAGGAUUGCUGAGUCCUCGUGGCUCACAGAUUACUAUGACACCAGUUGCAGGUACAGGUUUUGCGAUGAUCAUGACGCGAGAGCGAUGUUUACCUGUUUCGGAGUUCUUCUUCUGCUUCUUCUUCGAUCAGGGGAUAGGUUCCAGGUCGGCAGCCUGGGCUAGCAGGGUGGUUGUCGUUUGAGCUUCUGUUUGUGUUUCAUCCAUAGUCGGAUGUUGAUCUUAUGUAUGAUGUAUUGAUGUAUUCUUGCGGCAUUUGUAUGCCUUGUAUGUAUCCCCAUAUAUUAUGAAAUGUUGAUGUAAUGAUAUCCACCUUGCAAAAUCGUUUCAAUAUGCGGGUCUACCCUUGGUGGGACCUUCGAGUUCCUUUAGGAUAGGGUCGCAUAUUGGGCGUGACAAAUACUCUUGCUCCUGGUUGUGUGCGUAGUCCCCAGGACAUGAUUUAUUACUUCUCUGAAAAAUAUUUUCCUGCUCAUAAGAAACAAGCUUCCUUACAGGAAAUAUUUAAGUUUGUUCAAACUAAAGAAGAGAGUCUCCCACAAGCUUGGGGGAGGCUUUGCCAGUUACUUAAUGCUUUGCCUGAUCAUCCUCUUAAGAAAAAUGAAAUACUUGAUAUCUUCUAUAAUGGACUAACCGAUGCUUCUAGGGACUUCCUAGAUAGUUGUGCUGGUUGUGUUUUCAGGGAAUGAACUGUUGGACAAGCUGAAGAAUUAUUGAAUAACAUAUUGAAAAAUUAUGAUGAUUGGACUCUUCCUGAACCACCGGCUAAACCCACUCCGAAGAAGAGGGGUAUAUUAUAUCUCAGUCCUGAAGAUAUGCAAGAGGCAAAGAAAUCUAUGAAGGAAAAAAGGUAUUAAAGCUGGGGAUGUUAAAAUUUUACCUCCUAUUGAAGAAAUACAUGGGCUUAAUACACCACCACUGCCUAAGGUGGUAGAGGUAAAUUCUCUAAUGAAGUCAAUGAUAAUGAUAAUCCUCACAAUAUGCAUCCUAGCCAAUGCAUUUAUGAGUUUGAAAACUACAUUAGAAAACAAGAUCACUUCAAUGCAAAUGUUAUGAAACAAUUGAAAUAUAAUUCUGAUAUGAUUGCUCGCUUGAGUGACUUGUUAUUUAGAAUAUAAAAUGAUGUUAGAGGUGUUGGAAAACAUGCUUCUAUGGUUCAAACCCGGUUAGAACAAGUUGCUAACUCAAAGAGAAUUGCUUGAUGUAAUGAAUCAUAAUAUGCAUGACUUUGCUGUUAGAGUUGCAACUAGAGGAGGUAAAAUGACUCAGGAACCACUUUAUCCUGAGGGACACCCUAAAAGAAUAGAACAAGACUCACAAAGAAAUAACACUAGUGCACCUAGUCCUUCUAUAAAGAAAAAGAAAAGGAAAAAUGAUAGGACUUUGCAUACUUCUAGUGAACCUGAAAUAGAAAAACCUCCUGAUAAUGAAAAUGAAACUUCUAUCUCUGAUGCUGAAACUCAAGCUGGUAAUGAACGCUCACCUAGUGAUAAUGAAAAAGAUAAUCAUGAGGUUCAUGAAGACACUCAACCAAAUAAUAAAAGGGAACCAGAUAAUGAUGUUGAGAUAGAACCACCUGUUGAUCUUGAUAACCCACAACCUAAGAAUAAAAGGUAUGAUAAAAGAGACUUUGUGGCUAGAAAACACAGUAAAGAAAGAGAACCGUGGGUUCAAAAACCUAUGCCUUUUCCACCCAAGUCAGCUAAAAAGAAAGAUGACGAAGAAUUUGAACGCUUUGCUGAAAUGUUGAGGCCAGUCUUUUUGCGUACUCACUUGACUGAUAUCCUUAAAAUGCCUCCUUAUGCAAAGUAUAUGAAAGACAUCAUCACUAAUAAGAGAAAAAUAUCGGAAGCUGAAAUCUCCACUAUGCUUGCUAAUUACACUUUCAAAGACGGAGUACCCCAAAAACUUGGAGAUCCGGGAAUACCAACUAUACCUUGCUCUAUCAAAAAGAAUUAUGUGAAAACUGCUUUAUGUGAUUUAGGAGCUGGUGUUAGUGUUAUGCCUUUCUCUUUAUAUAAAAGACUUGACUUGAAUAAACUCACACCUACUAAAAUAUCUUUGGAAAUGGCUAACAAAUCAACUGCCAUACCUAUCGGUAUUUGUGAGGAUGUGCCCGUUGUUGUUGCUAAUGUUACUAUUUUGACUGACUUUGUUAUACUUGAGAUGCCCGAGGACGACAAUAUGUCGAUUAUCCUUGGUAGACCCUUCUUGAAUACUGCAGGGUCUGUUAUUGAUUGCAAUAAAAGCAAGGUCACUUUUCAUGUCAAUGGUAAUGAGCAUACGGUGCACUUUCCGAAGAAACAAUUCCAAGUGAAUGGUAUUAAUGUUAUUGAAAAAUCUCCGACAAUCACUAUUGGAAGUUUUCAAAUACCUCUACCUGCUGUGAAAAAGAAAUAUGAAAUGCUUAUUGUUGGGGACAUUCAUAUCCCCAUUGAGGUAACUUAGUGAUUUACGAAAGUUCUUCGGUUUCGUGCUAAUCGAAAGUGGUUGUUAAUAAGACUUGAUCAACCUUAUUAAUGAAUCAUUUUUUAGCGGUAUGAAGUUGAUGAAUUUAGUAAGCACUACCUUCUGUCCUUACUCUUUGUUUUCUAUUUUUAUUAGUUAAAAAAAUAAAAUGCCAUGUUUUGUCUAUUUUCUAAAUUUCUUGUGCAAUAAAAAAUGACCCAAAAAUAAAAGUUCUCAUAAUGCUCUAAAAAUUCAAUACGAUUUUUCCUGAAUAUUUCUGAAUUUCUGGUGCAAAUAAUAUCAGAGGGAGCUGCACCAGGUGGGCACAACCCACCUGGGCGCGCCAGGACCCCCAGGCGCGCCCUAGUGGGUUGUGGUCCCCACGUGGGCCCCCUCACUUAUCUCUUUAGCCCACAUCAUCACUUACCUCCAGAAAAAAAUCUCCAUUGCUCUCUCUCCCAUGUUCUUGCUCUCAAACCCACAGAUUUCGAUCUCUUUGCUCGAAGCUCCGUUUCCGAAACUGUUUCGGGGGAUUGUUGCUUGGUAUGUAACUCCACUGUUUGUCCAAUUAGUUUUUGUUUUAAUGGUUUAUAUUUUGAAUAAUUAGCUACUCUAGGUGCUGCUGUAGAUGAGCUUGCAUGUUGAAUUCUUAGUGUUCUAAGUAGUUUGAAUGCUUGUUGUGGCCUCUAUGUAUCCCUAUGAGUAGUUGCUAUCAAUUUAAUAAAGUUUUGUUGACAAAUUUUUGUCACCCAAAAAAAUUUAUUUUCAGAAAACUGUACGCGAACAUGAAUAUCUUCAGGAAGUUUGGCUCUAAGAAGAACUCCAAGGGUGUUAUUGGGGAGUCUUCUGACAGUGAUCUCCACCUUCGAAGGUUGGUGGAGGUACGGCCGUGCGAAUGGCCGCACACCCCGUUCCUGGAAGAGGCUGGAAUUCUUCAGGAGUACACACAAUAUAUUGCCAAUGCCGGCCUCACUAACUUCAUCGCAGAUGAGUGUGACCAGCACCAAAUCCUCACAAACAUCUUUGUUCAAAGUUUUACUUUCCUGCCUAGGAACAUCCUCGUGAAGUGAGCUUUGAUUUAUAUGCUGAAAACCAUCAGAUGCCACUUGCCAAAUUUUGUGACAUAUGCAUGAUCCCUUCUGAUGGGAGCUUAACCGAGCCUAGGCCGGCUGGGUUUGAGGCGUUUUAUCGCACUUUGACAGUGGGAGAUGAGAGAGGGGUGUCAGCCACCACGGCUGCUAGCAUACACUUUCCUGCCAUACAUUAUUUUGCUUUAUUUGUUGCUAAAUAUCUGCUUGCUAGAAAGAAAGUAGGUGCGCUCAGCGCACCAGACUUUGUUGUUUUACGCCGGGCACUAGAGGGCGACAACACUCAUAGCUUGGGAGCUAUUGUGGCUUGUCGCCUCCAUCUUAAUAAAUCCCAGGGUGAAAUACAUGGUGGGAUUUUUGCUACUCGUUUGGCGGCUCGCUUCAAUGUCGAGAUACGCCCUCAUGAUUACCCCCUAACCAAGGUUUACUUUGACUGUGCAGCCAUGGAACACCAUCAUUUUCUUGCACAAGAUUAUCCUAACAUCCCCAUUCCUUAUAACCUGGUCUUUAGCGUUAAAACUCGUGAUAUUGUUCCCUUGCCUGCACCUGCUUUGUUUGAUUCUGCUGCCAGGGGCGGAUAUAGGAUUAUGCCUGAGGACAUCAUCGCCUAUCGGAAUGCUCAGGCUGCUGCAGAGGCACAGGAGGAGCCUCAACAGUGGGAUGAGUGGAUGCCUGCUCCUCAGGAUCCCUACUACCAUCCAAGCUACUAAAUGAUUACCAACUUAGGCCAAAAGCCUAAGCUUGGGGGAGUACGUGUUUCUCACCGACUUUACAUUCAUGUCUACAUAUCAUUCUAUUUGUCGGUGUUCACACUUUUUCAUUGUAUCAUCCAUGCUUAGAUUUAUUUCCAUGCUUUCUUCUUGUGUGUUUGAAAAACUUUAGAAAACCCAAAAAAAUAGUUGUAGUAAUUUACUUUCUAUGCAUGCUUAGGAGUAGUAUUAAAAAUAAAACCCAAAAAGAUUUUCUUCUUCUUCUUUUGCUUGUUGGGAGCUUUCCCGUGUAAAUAGUUUUUCUCGUUUUUGCUUUUCCCUUUUAUUUGCCAGUUCAAGAAAACCAAAAACUCCAAAAAUAUUCCAGUGUGUUUCUCUGAAUUUCUUUUCUUUUUAUUCGAUUCUUACCAAGGAGAAGACCACGAUGAAAAUGUUGAGUGGCUCUCAUAUGAAUAACUGUUGAACUAAUAAAGAGCACAUUUUACCUUGUCUUCUCCUAUUGAAUAAAAUGUUUGCAGAUUCCAGCUUAGUCCACGGCACUCUUGCACUAUUAUUAUUUUCAUAUCAUUCGUUUGUGCAAGUGAAAGGCAAUAAUGACGACAUUCGAUGAACUGGCCGUGGAAGAGAGAAACUGGUAUGAACUCGACUUGUUCUGUUUGUGUAAAUAUGUUUAGCCUAGUAUCCAUGAUUCAGCCCAUUAUGACUAAACAUGUUUGCAAUGACAAUUAUAGAUUAUAGUUUCUCAUGCCAUGCAUAAGUAGCUGGGAGUUGAUAAUGAUUUAUCUUGGAUAUCAACAUAGCAUUAAAAUGAUUGUGAUGUAGUAUGAUGAUAUGGUAUCCUCCUGUUCGAGUGGCUUGACUUGGCACAUGUUCAUGCAUGUAGUUGAAUCAAAACCGUAACGCCCACGAUGCGGCUAUAUCUCCCACGUGUCGAGGCACGACUUAGAGGCAUAACUGCAUUGUGGUUUUCUCGCAAGAAGGGUCAUCUUCACACAAUCGCAUGUAAUGAACAAGAAUGGGAUAAAGAGAGUUGGCUUAUAAUCGCCACUUCACACAAUACUUAAAUAAUUCAUACAUCAUCCAAAAUACACACAUAGACCGACUACGGUCAAAACCAAAUGACAAGAAGAAAACCCCAAAUGCUAGCUCCCCGAUCGUCCCAACUGGGCUCCACUACUAAUCAUCAGAAAACGAAACAUAGUAACGACCAAGGUCCUCGUCGAACUCCCACAUGAGUUCGGUAGUAUCACCUGCACUGGUAUCAUUGGCACCUGCAACUGUUUUGGUAGUAUCUGUGAGUCACGAGGACUCAGCAAUCUCAAAACCCGUGAGAUCAAGACUAUUUAAGCUUAUGGGUAGGGUAAGGUAAUGAGGUGGAGUUGCAGCAAGCGCUAAGCAAAUAUGAUGGCUAACAUAUGCAAAUAAGAGUAAGAUGAGAAGCUACGCAACGGUCGUGAAACUAGAAGCGAUCAAGAAGUGAUCCUGAACUACUUACGUUCAAACAUAACCCAAACCAUGUUCACUUCCCGGACUCCGCCGAAAAGAGACCAUCACGGCUACACACGCGGUUGAUGCAUUUUAAUUAAGUCAAGUGUCAAGUUCUCUACAACCGGAUAUUAACAAAUUCCCAUCUGCCACAUAACCGCGUGCACGGCUCUCAAAAGUUUAUACCCUGUAGGGGUGUCCCAACUUAGCCCAUCACAAGCUCUCAUGAUCAACGAAGGAUAUACUUUCUCCCCGGAAGACCCGAUCAGACUCGGAAUCCCGGUUACAAGACAUUUCGACAAUGGUAAAACAAGACCAGCAAGACCACCCGACCGUGCCGACAAAUCCCGAUAAGAGAUGCACAUAUCUCAUUCUCAGGGCACAUCGGAUGAGCAAUCCGUACAACUAAAACCAUCCCUCAAGUUUCCCCGAGGUGGCACUGCAAAGGGCUCUAGUUUGGACCAACACUCAGAGGAGCACUGGCCCGGGGGGGUUAAAAUAAAGAUGACCCUCGGGGCUGCAGACCCCAAGGGAAGGGAAUAGGUGGUAGGCAAAUGGAAAACCAAUGUUGGGCCUUCCUGGAGGAGUUCUAUUCAAAGCAAACUGUCAAGGGGGUCCCAUAACCCCAACCGCGUAAGGAACGCAAAAUCAAGGAACAUAACACCGGUAUGGCGAAAACUAGGGCGGCAAGAGUGGAACAAAUCACCGGGCAUAAGGCCGAGCCUUCCACCCUUUACCAAGUAUAUAGAUGCAUUAAUUAAAAUAAGAGAUAUUGUGAUAUCCCAACAUAAUCAUGUUCCAACAUGGAGAAAUCUUCAACUUCACCUGUAGCUAACAACGCUAUAAGAGGGGCUGAGCAAAAGCGGUAACAUAGCCAAACAACAGUUUGUUAGGAAGGUGGGUUAGAGGCUUGACAUGUCAUUAUGGGAGGCAUGAUAAACAGGUGGUAGGUAGCGCGACAUAGCGAUAGAAUGAACAACUAGCAAGCAAAGAUAGAAGUGAUAUCGAGGGUAAUGGUCAUCUUGCCUGAAAUCCCGCUAGGAAGAAGACCGAAUCCAAGAAGUAGACGAAGCAAGGUAGUAGAAUGAAUCCUCACCAUCUCAACGUAACCGGAACUAUCAAGGAGAAGCGCAACCGGAAAGAAGCAAACAUCACAGUAAACAACCACCACAUAAACAUGACAUGAUGCGCAACCAAGUAUGAUGCAUGUCCAUUUAAUGAGGCAUGGCAUGGCAAAGUGCAACAAAACAACACUACAAAUUAAGUGGAGCUCAAUAUGCAACGAGUUGCAUAUUGACGAAACACCACAUUCAAGUUAUUUAGUUCGCUCUCGUUUAUCUACCCAACAAUAUUAAAUGUUAUUAAACAUGGCAACAGGGUGAAGCAUAAAUAAACUAACUAUUUAGGCAAGUUUAAAUGAGGCCGGAACAACAACAACAAUUCCGGAAAAUCCUCUUAUGCAUAUUUUGAAUUUGCUACUGUUCUACCCUAAACCAUAUUUUAAUGUUGUUAAACAGUAAAACAAAGUGCACCAAGUUAAUCUAUGCACUAUUCCAUCCCAUUUGCAUAUAAAGUUUAUUUAAAAUGGAGCUACGGUUAUUUAGUUAUGAAAUAAACCAUUUUAGCAUGUCAUUUAGCAAAUUAAAUGCAAACAGCAAUUUAAACAUGUUUACCAUAAAUGAAACUAGCAUAUUAUGAAACUAGACAAAAUUCUAAGCAUUUUACAUAUAUAGUUUGCUUUAAUCCGAUGCACAGUUUGUGAGAUAUUAAAUGCAUGAAGUGCAAGGGGUUUUCUGUAAAACUGGCAGUUUCUGGAUAAUUUGCAAAAUUCGCUGGAAAAAGGAAAAAAACAAUCAUGCUGAAUCUGAUGGAUCUGGGCUGGUGGGAGCUGCUCACAUUGGGCCUUGAGGCCGAAUCUGGAGCAGGGCCAGGGGUGCUGUGGAUGAGGCAGCCCACGCAGCAGGACGACGCGUCCACGGCGCGGGCGAGCGGGCGGUCAACAUGGGGCGGGGCGUUCGUCUGGUUCCUGUCCCUGACAAAGAAAGACAGAGAGAGGUGAGACAGAGAGAGGGAAAGGAAUAGAGGGCGUGAAGGAGGCCCGGGGGCGUGACCUGGAGGUGCUGGUGAUCAUUGGCGGUGAGGCGAGGCGGCGGGGGUCGCGAGGAAGAUGGCGGAGCUUUGGAUAGGGAGGAGCUCGGCUCUCCUCGGGCGUUGCACGACGCGGAAGGGAGACAGGGAGCAGCAGGAGGAGGAGACGCGCAGGCGUGGGGAGGCUCGGGGUUGCGGAGCUUGGUCAUCGGUUGCUCGAGGGAUACGACGAGGAGGAAGAUGGGGCACCGGCGAGCUCGUGCUCGAGCACCUGAAGAUGGCGCGGCGGCGGAGCUUGCUGCAGUUCUUCCUGGCGCUCGACGGGAAGACGCAGGCGAGGAACUUGGCAGAGCGGCGCGCCUUGGAGCAGAUCGGGCGCGGCCAUGGCGUCGGGGUCCUUCACGGUUCCUGGUCAGAGAGAGACCAGAGAAGGGGAGAAGGAUGGAGAAGGGAGAAAGCAGGGGAAGCAGCCUGGCCUGCUGGUGGCUGAGGGAGUCCUGGAUUAGGGGGUCCUCGGACGGCCGGACUAUAUCCUUUAGCCGGACUGUUGGACUAUGAAAAUACAAGAUUGAAGACUUCGUCCCGUGUCCGGAUGGGACUCUCCUUGGCGUGGAAGGCAAGCUUGGCGAUACGGAUAUGUAGAUCUCCUUCCUUGUAAUCGACUCUGUGUAACCCUAGCCCCCUCCGGUGUCUAUAUAAACCAGAGGGUUUAGUCCGUAGGACAACAACAAUCAUACCAUAGGCUAGCUUCUAGGGUUUAGCCUCUACGAUCUCGUGGUAGAUCAACUCUUGUAAUACUCAUAUCAUCAAGAUCAAUCAAGCAGGAAGUAGGGUAUUACCUCCAUCGAGAGGGCCCGAACCUGGGUAAACAUCGUGUCCCCCGCCUCCUGUUACCAUCCACCUUAGACGCACAGUUCGGGACCCCCUACCCGAGAUCCGCCGGUUUUGACACCGACAUUGGUGCUUUCAUUGAGAGUUCCACUGUGUCGUCACCACAAGGCUUGAUGGCUCCUUUGAUCAAUGGCAACGAUGUGAUCCAGGGUGAGGUUUUCCUCCCCGGACAGAUCUUCGUAUUCGGCGGCUUCGUACUGCGGGCCAACUCGCUUGGCCAUCUGGAGCAGAUCGAGAGCUACGCCCCUGGCUAUCAGGUCAGGUUUGGAAACUUGAAUUAUACCGCCGACAUCCGCGGAGACUUGAUCUUCGACGGGUUCGAGCCCAUGUCAGGUGCGCCGCACAAUCACGACGAGCAUGACUUAGCUCUGUCGUCGGACAGUGUUCGGGAGAUCACACCUGCAACUACUCCGGCCCUCAAUCCGAAACAAAUUGCGCCAUCUGAGGACGGGUGGAUAGACCCCGCCACGGAGGCUGCACUCUCAGUGGCGAUAGAGCCGAAUACUGACUUCACCUCCUACGAGACCCGCGUUGCCGAACACUUGGAUUCGUCCCCGGCCACGGGCUCCGAGCCGCUUGCGUCCGUGCCUAUCGAAUCCGAUUGGGCACUGAUCAUGGAGUUUACCUCCGCGGAUAUCUUUCAGCACUCGCCCUUUGGCGACGUGCUAAACUCGUUGAGGUCUCUCUCCCUGUCAAGAGACCCUUGGCCGAACUAUGUCCGGCCAGAAUGGGAUGCGGACGACGAAGAAAUUCGCUCCCCACCCACCACCCACUUAAUAGCCACUGUCGAUGAUUUAACCGACAUGCUCGACUUUGGCUCAGAAGACAUCGACGGUAUGGACGACGAUGCAGGAGACGAACAAGAACCACCGCCCACAGGGCGCUGGACUGCCACCUCAUCGUAUGACAUAUACAUGGUGGACACUCCCAAAGAAGGCGAUGGCGAUAAGACAACGGAGGAUAAUCCCUCCAAGAAGCAAUCCAAGCACCGACGUCAGUGGCGCCGCUCUAAGUCCCGCCAUAGCAAAAGCAGCGAUACCGGCACCAGAGACAAUAACGCUCCGGAUAGUGCCGAGGACGACGACAACCCCCUCCAGCCAGACCUCGAGCGGGAGGAUGAACAAGCUAGCCCUCCGGAACAGGCAGCAGACGGAGAAUCAGAGGAUGACAAUUACAUGCCUCUCUCCGAAGAUGAGGUGAGCCUCGGCGACGAAGAAUUUAUCGUGCCUGAGGAUCCCGUCGAGCAGGAGCGCUUCAAGCGCCGGCUUAUAGCCACAGCAAAUAGCCUGAAGAAAAAGCAACAACAGCUUCGAGCUGAUCAAGAUCUGCUAGCGGACAGAUGGACUGAAGUCCUUGCGGCCGAGGAAUACGAACUCGAAUGCUCAACCAAGAGUUACCCAAAGCGCAGGUUGCUACCCCAACUCGAGGAGGAAGCAUUGAAACCCACAUCACUAGCGUAUGAUGCGGCUGAUCGGCCACCUCGUGGCCGAGACAGAGAGGCAUAUCAGCCCGAAGUCCAGACCGCACCCCGCCGCCAUUCAAAGAAAAAUACCAAGGCCCGGGGCAACACGCGGGACCUGCAGACGUAUUGGAAAACAAAGCAAAACAUGCAAGAUCGAUCUACGGAUCACGGGGGCGCGCCCCAACGCGGGACGAUGAUCGUCACGCCGGAUAUACCAAAAGCAAAUCCGGCCGGGCCGAAUAGAGCAGACAAGACUCGUAUGAACUGCGUUGUGAUAUAGCCCGGCACAGAGGCACCGCACACCCCCUAUGCUUCACUGAUGAAGUAAUGGAUCACGAAUUCCCAGAGGGUUUUAAACCCGUAAACAUUGAAUCAUAUGAUGGUACAACAGACCCCGUGGUAUGGAUCGAGGAUUUCCUCCUCCACAUCCACAUGGCACGCGGUGAUGAUCUACAUGCCAUCAAGUACCUCCCACUAAAACUCAAAGGACCAGCUCGGCAUUGGCUGAAUAGCUUGCCAGCAGACUCCAUUGGCAGUUGGGAGGAUUUGGAAGAUGCAUUCCUUGACAACUUCCAGGGCACUUAUGUGCGACCACCGGAUGCUGACGACUUGAGCCAUAUAACUCAACAGCCAAGGGAAUCGGCCAGGAAAUUCCGGACCCGGUUCCUGACUAAGAAAAACCAAAUUGUCGACUGUCCGGAUGCAGAGGCCUUAGCAGCAUUUAAGCAUAACAUCCGUGAUGAGUGGCUCGCCCGGCACCUCGGCCAGGAGAAGCCGAAGUCUAUGGUAGCCCUCACAACACUCAUGAGCCGCUUUUGCGCGGGCGAGGAUAGCUGGCUGGCUCAAAGCAACAACACAUCAAGGAAUCCUGGCACUUCAGAUGCCAAAGAUACUAACGGCAGACCACGUCAUAACAGUCAAUGCCGGAUUCAGUGGCUCUAAAUCCGGUCGGCGGAAAAAUCCAUUCAAAAGAAGCAAUCCGGGCCCGUCUAGUUUGGACUGCAUACUCGAUCGCUCGUGUCAAAUUCACGGCACCCCCGAUAAACUAGCCAAUCACACCAACGAAGAAUGCUGGGUGUUCAAGCAGGCCGGCAAGUUGAAUGCUGAAAACAAGGACAAGGGGCUGCAUAGCAACGACGAGGAGGAGCCCCGGCCGCCAAACACAGGAGGACAGAAGAGGUUCCCUCCACAAGUGAAAACGGUGAACAUGAUAUACGCAACCCACAUUCCCAAGAAGGAACGGAAGCGUGCGCUAAGGGACGUCUAUGCGAUGUGUUGGAAAUAUGCCCUAGAGGCAAUCAUAAAAUGGUUAUUAUUGUAUUUCCUUGUUCAUGAUAAUUGUCUAUUGUUCAUGCUAUAAUUGUAUUAACUGGAAACCGUAAUACAUGUGUGAAUACAUAGACCACAACAUGUCCCUAGUAAGCCUCUAGUUGACUAGCUCGUUGAUCAAUAGAUGGUUAUGGUUUCCUGACCAUGGACAUUGGAUGUCAUUGAUAACGGGAUCACAUCAUUAGGAGAAUGAUGUGAUGGACAAGACCCAAUCCUAAGCAUAGCACAAGAUCGUGUAGUUCGUUUGCUAAGAGCUUUUCUAAUGUCAAGUAUCAUUUCCUUAGACCAUGAGAUUGUGCAACUCCUGGAUACUGUAGGAAUGCUUUGGGUGUACCAAACGUCACAACGUAACUGGGUGGCUAUAAAGGUACACUACAGGUAUCUCCGAAAGUGUCUGUUGGGUUGGUACGAAUCGAGACUGGGAUUUGUCACUCCGUAUGACGGAGAGGUAUCUCUGGGCCCACUCGGUAAUGCAUCAUCAUAAUGAGCUCAAUGUGACUAAGUAGUUAGUCACGGGAUCAUGCAUUACGGAACGAGUAAAGUGACUUGCCGGUAAUGAGAUUGAACGAGGUAUUGGGAUACCGACGAUCGAAUCUCGGGCAAGUAACAUACCGAUUGACAAAGGGAAUUGUAUACGGGAUUGAUUGAAUCCCCAACAUCGUGGUUCAUCUGAUGAGAUCAUCGUGGAACAUGUGGGAGCCAACAUGGGUAUCCAGAUCCCGCUGUUGGUUAUUGGCCGGAGAACGUCUCGGUCAUGUCUGCAUGGUUCCCGAACCCGUAGGGUCUACACACUUAAGGUUCGAUGACGCUAGGGUUAUAGGGAAUAGAUAUACGUGGUUACCAAAUGUUGUUCGGAGUCCCGGAUGAGAUCCCGGACGUCACGAGGAGUUCCGGAAUGGUCCGGAGGUAAAGAUUUAUAUAUGGGAAGUCCCGUUUUGGCCACCGGAAGAGUUUUGGGCAUCACCGGUAAUGUACCGGGACCACCGGAGGGUUCCGGGGGUCCACCGGGAGGGGCCACCAACCCCGGAGGCCUGCGUGGGCCAAGUGUGGGAAGGGACCAGCCCCUAGGUGGGCUGGUGCGCCUCCCACAAGAGGCCCAAGGCGCAGGGAAAGGGGAAGGGGGAAACCCUAGGCUCAGAUGGGCCUAAGGCCCACCUAGGGUGCGCCCCCCUCUCUCCCCCUCUGGCCGCCCCCUUAGAUGCAUCUAGGGCUGGCCGCCACCCCUAGGGGGAACCCUAGAUGGGGGCGCAACCCCUCCCCUUCCCCUAUAUAUAGUGGGGGUUUUGGGGCUACUGUAGACAUGAGUCUCCCUCUCUCUUGGCGCAGCCCUACCCCUCUCCCUCCUCGUCUCUCGCAGUGCUUGGCGGAGCCCUGCUGGAAUGCCACGCUCCUCCAUCACCACCAUGCCGUUGUGCUGCUGCUGCACGGAGUCUACCCCAACCUCUCCCUCUCUCCUUGCUAGAUCAAGGCACGGGAGACGUCACCGGGCUGCAUGUGUGUUGAACACGGAGGCACCGUUGUUCAGUGCUUAGAUCGGAUUCGGCCGCGAUCUGAAUCGCUUCGUGUACGACUCCACCGACCGCGUUCUUGCAACGCUUCCGCAUCGCGAUCUUCAAGGGUAUGAAGAUGCACUCCCCUCUCUCUCUCGUUGCUAGUUAUUCCAUAGAUUGAUCUUGGUGAUGCAUAAAAAAUUUUGAAUUUCUGCUACGUUACCCAACACGAUGGAGCCAGUCGCCCCAAAGUUCAACCCAUGGUCCUCUUGUCCGAUAACCUUCGAUCGCAGGGACCACCCCACUAGUAUCCGUCAUGGCGGAUCUGCCGCAUUGGUCCUUGACCCCAUCAUUGACGGGUUUCACCUCACUCGAGUCCUUGUGGACGGUGGCGGCAGCCUGAACCUGCUCUAUCAGGAUACAGUGCGCAAAAAGGGCAUAGACCCCUCGAGGAUCAAACCCACCAAAACCACCUUUAAAGGUGUCAUCCCAGGUGUGGAGGCCUGUUGCACAGGCUCAAUCACACUGGAAGUGGUUUUCGGGUCUCCGGACAACUUUCGAAGCGAGGAGUUAAUCUUCGAUAUCGUCCCCUUUCGCAGCGGCUAUCACACACUGCUCGGACGAACCGCAUUUGCCAGAAUCAAUGUGGUACCGCAUUAUGCACACCUCAAACUCAAAAUGCCAGGACCACGCGGGGUUAUAACAGUUAAUGGAAACACAGAGCGCUCGCUCCGCACGAAGGAGCACAUUGCGGUCCUCGCAGCAGAAGCGCCAAGCAGCCUUAUUAGGCAAACCGCCAAUUCGGCGAAAAAGACCCCGGACACCUUCAAGCGAGUCUGGAGUACCCCGCAGGAGGAUCGGCAGGCACGUUUUGGGCUCGACUAGCAAUUCGGCCUCCGUCCUAGUCCCAGUCAAGUGGCGAAAUUUGCGCCGCGCGUACAUAACUACGCACUCAAGAUACCAUGGGCAUAGGCGGAGGCACCACUACGGCACGUCCCACAAUGCGGCUCAACCGCCCCAGGGGCUGUAUACCUUUAUCAUUUUUUCUCUUUCAGGACCUUACUCUCUGGAAGCCCUUUCUGGCAGUCUAAUUGUUGGACUAAUCGCCGUAAGGAAAUACCAAGGAAGCAAGAUGGUCUGACAUACAAGGGAAUCCCCAGGUGGUCUCUGAUAACGAUCAAAAUACCUGUUUUACAUACCCGCACGCAACUUGCCCUUGGAUAGGACAUGUCAAUUGGCCCUAUUUUUUGCUUAUUGCACUACUUGUAUCCGUACGCCUUGACGUAUUAUUUAAUAACAAUGCAUAGCGUUAGCCUAUUAUUGCAUUCCCCUUUCCUUUUUUCUUUUCCUUGUCUGCCUAUUUACGACAAAUUGCACCCGUACAUUCUGGUACGACCAGUGCGCCAGGGGCUUCUGUAUACCCCAUAACACGGCAUGAGAAGUCCGAACACUUUCGACAGUGCGGCACCCCGAACUUAUAGCAUUAUAUGCAUGAGCUCUGAAUCAUGUCUUGAGUCAAUAGUUGGGUUUGCCCGGCUCCCAUGUUUUGGUACCUUACGUUCCGCAAUAUCGGCUAAGGUAGGCUGGGAGAACUACUGCGAUUGUGUCCCGGUUCUUCCGGACGAGCACCUCAGUAGAGAAAGCUGAAAACUGACUGUCAUGAUGAGGCGAGAGCUGGCCACUGUUCGAGAGGUCUCAAGUCCUUAAAGACUUUUUCUGCUUCGGGCGAGGAGUCGGCCUUGUCCGACUUAGGCGUAUAUAGUGCCCCGAAUUCGGCCUUCCGAAUACUAGGGGCUUCGCCAAAAUUUAAAAUUGUAGACUUCUAUGGCUAAGUGAGAGUGAUAAAGCUUUAUAGUUCGAUUGUCUGGUUCGCUGUGCCAAACACCUCCUUCGAAGGACCCAAAAUUGGGAUAAAGAGUGCUCAGGUUUAUCCCGAACACCUCAGUACUAGUUACAUGGGGGCAGAAGCCGACGACUGGCCAACUCUCAGAUUUCAUAAACGGCCGCACAGAAGGUAAUAUUUUAAAUUAACAAGCGUUGCAUAGCGCAAAUGAACUUGUUUCAUAUUACAGGAUCACAUGAGUACAUUCAUUCGAAUAUUACAUCCUUAAAACAUUCCUCCGCCACAAGGCGAGCACCCUUCAGGACACUGUCAUAAUACAUUUCGGGGUGGCGAUGCUCCUUGCCUUCCGGCGACCCCUCCUUCACCAGCUUUACAGCGUCCAGCUUCGCCCAGUGCACCUUCGCCCGGGCAAAAGCCCUGCGCGCACCCUCGAUGCAGACGGACCGCUUUAAGACUUCAAGCUGUGGGCAGGCAUUCACAAGCCGCCUCACCAGACCGAAGUAGCUAUUAGGAAGGGGCUCGCCAGGCCACAUCCGGACUAUAAGACCCUUCAUGGCUUGUUCGGCCGCCUUGUGGAGUUCGACCAGUUGCUUCAGCUGGUCGCUCAAGGGCAUUGGGUGUUCAGUCCCAGUAUACUGAGACCAGAACAACUUCUCCGUCGAGCUCCCCUCCUCAGCCCGGUAGAACUCCGCGGCAUCCGACACACUGCGGGGUCGAUCUGCGAACGCUCCUGGAGAGCUCCGAACUCGGGUAAGUAAAAAGAAAGUUUCCUUCACAUGCUUGCUUUGCAUAAUGAAUGCCUUACUCGCCGCUAUCUUCUUAACCACCUCAAUUUCCCGGAGGGCCUUUUGGGCUUCGGCCUUGGCAUGUUGUGCACUUUCGAGGGCCUUCGCAAGCUCGGACCCUUGCGUCUUAGAGUCAAGCUCCAAGGACUCGUGUUUUUUGACGAGAGCCUGGAGCUCUUGCUGCACCUCGCCCACUCGGGCUUCUUGCUUUUCUCGCUCGAUGCGCUCCUUGGCCGCUUUGUCUUCGACCUCGGAUAGCGCCAUCUUUAGGGCCGCCACUUCGGUCGUGGCCCCUAGCAAAUUCAUGAAGAUCCUAUUAUUGUCAAACCAAAUUUUUCUUUAUAAUGUACAGACGGGGUAUGACUUACCUUUGUUCUCUUCGAGUUGCCUCUUGGUAAGGCCGAGCUCUUUCUUGGACCGCUCAAGGUCCUGCUUUAGUGCAGCGACCUCCGCAGUACGUGCGGCAGCGGCUAGCAGUGAAGCCUGCAUAUGCACAUAGACAUAUUCCGAUUAGACUCCUGCGGUUAUUAUUUGAUCCUCUAUUCGGCCUUUCUUAGCGAACGCCAAACAGAGCAUCAGGGGCUACUGUCUAUGCGGUAACAUUCUCUUAUAAUUUGAUUACUUACCUCAAAGUCUGUUAGGAGGCUGGCACAGGCUUCAGUCAGUCCGCUUUUGGCGGACUGAACCUUCUUGAUCACCACACUCAUGAUAGUGCGGUGCUCUUCGUCGAUGGAAGCGCUGCGAAGCGCUUCCAGCAAGUUGUCCGAUGCCUCUGGAUGGACAGAGGCCAUCGGCACAGGCGGCUUGCCCCUCUUAGCGAGGGGUCGCCUGACAGAGUCCGGAACCACUGGAGGUUCCGGCGCAGUAUUCGGCUGGGGGCCGAAUUUGCUGCCCCCGUCAUCGGAGCCCAUGGGAGUCUUGCUCCCCUUGCGCCCAGUGUCCGGAAUGUCGCCUUGAGGCGCCUCCAGGACUACCUCCCCUUGGUUCGGUGCCCUUUGAGACAACACCUCGACAUUGUCCGUAGGGCGAGGGGAGGAGGCGGUCGGAAGUGAAUCGUUGUUCAGGUCCGACGGGCCCAAAGAAUCAUCCGACGAAGAUAUGUCGAUGUGGGCUCGGGAGGGGUUGCAUAAUCACGCGCAAGCGUGAUAAGAAACAGUACAAUAAGACGUACCACGAAUUAUUAUGGUAUCCAGAUACUUACGACUUUGCCAGGGGCUUGUCCCUAGGCAACCACUCGUCGUCGCUAUAGGAGGCCGUCGUGGAGCAGUCCGGGAGGAGGGUCCUUCCCUUCUUGGACCCUUCGGCCUCCCCGGAUGGGGCGGCCUUCCUUUUCUUGUCUCCCCCGGCAGGGGGGAGAACUUUCCUCUUCCUCCUCCUCGUUUUCGUGGGAGGAGUGCACCUCCGUGUUUUUGGACGAUGAGUCCGAUAUAACCUUGCACCGGAGACCCUUCCUGGUCCCCGUGGCCUUCUUCGCCGGCACCUCAUAAGGCGCCGGAACGAGCAUCUCCGUUAGGAGAGCAUCUGCUGGAUCUUUGGGCAGGGGGGCUGGACAAUCGAUCUGCUCCGCUGUCGCUACCCAGUCCUGUUAAAUGGCGUGGAGGCUUAGAUCCCGCGCAUGGUUAAAACUGGGGAAAAUGAACAUCUUAUGAGAUAUAAAAGACUUACCGGAUUGGCAGGGCGCUUUGUGCUGAGUCCGUGGUCCUCGGUAAGGGGAGGAGGUACCUUGGCACCCUUGAACAGCACCAUCCAGACGUCCUUGUGCGUCGUGUCGAAGAGCUCUUGCAGCGUCUGGUGCUUGGCUGGGUCGAACUCCCACAAAUUGAAUGCCCGUCUUUGACACGGGAGGAUCCGGCGGAAGAGCAUGACUUGGACCACGUUGACGAGCUUGAUUUUCUUGCGCAUCAUGUUUUUUACGCAGGUCUAGAGUCCGGUCAGCUCUACCGAGGAACCCCAGGAUAAGCCCUUCUCUUUCCAGGAGGUGAGCCGCAUGGGGAUUCUGGAUCGGAAUUCGGGGGCCGCCACCCAGUUGGUGUUGCGCGGCUCGGUGACGUAGAACCACCCCGAUUGCCACCCCUUUAUGGUCUCCACAUAGGAGCCUUCGAGCCAGGUGACGUUGGGCAUUUUGCCCACCAUGGCGCCUCCGCACUCCGCUUGCUGGCCAACCACCACCUUCGGUUUAACAUUGAAGGUCUUCAGCCAUAGGCCGAAGUGGGGCUUGAUGCGGAGGAAGGCCUCGCACACGACGAUAAACGCUGAGAUGUUGAGGAUGAAAUUGGGGGCCAGAUCAUGAAAGUCCAGCCCAUAAUAGAACAUGAGCCCGCAGACAAACGGGUGGAGGGGAAAUCCCAGUCCGCGGACGAAGUGGGUAAGAAAAACCACCCUCUCAUGGGGUUCGGGAGCAGAGACGAUCUGCCCCGCAUCUGGCAGCUGGUGUGCGAUAUCCGCGGCCAGAUAUCUGGCUCCCCGUAGCUUUGUGAUAUCCUCCUCCGUAACGGAGGAGACCAUCCACUUGCCUCCCGCUCCGGACAUGCUUGGAGUGGUUUGAGGAGAAAAUGCGAACUUGGGUGCUGGAGCUCGAGUGCGCAAGAAUGGAUGAGCAAGGAGGAAGAGGGCGUGGGUAAAAAAGAGGAAUCCUCGUCCUUUUAUAGGGGCGGAGAAGCUAUACGCCUCCCCACCUGCCUGGUAAAACUCGCUUAUUCCCCAAGCGCCGUAAUUGAUGACGCGGUUGGGUUACCCACACCCGUAUUGAUGAGAAUCCCAUGAUAAGGGGACACGAUCUCUGCUUCGACAAGACGUGCCAAGAAAACCGCCUCGCAAUAUGUGCAGUAGCUGGUUGAGAAAAAGGUUCGAAUAAUGACCGGGCCGUGGUGUGAUGUCAUGCUGCCAGAUGUGUCAACAGAUUAGAUUUGUGGAAAUAUUAUUCUUUCUACGGUGGUAUGUGGAAUUUGUUUUGCAGAGCCGGACACUAUCCUUGUGUUCAAAAUCUUCUAUGGAGUAUUCGGAGGAAGAACCCGCCUUGCAAUGUCGAAGACAAUCUGCGCGCCGGACUCAUCAUCAUUGAAGCCUGGUUCAGGGGCUACUGAGGGAGUCCUGGAUUAGGGGGUCCUCAGACAGCCUAACUAUAUCCUUUAGCCGGACUGUUGGACUAUGAAGAUACAAGAUUGAAGACUUCGUCCCGUGUCUGGAUGGUACUCUCCUUGGCGUGGAAGGCAAGCUUGGCGAUACGGAUAUGUAGAUCUCCUUCCUUGUAACCGACUCUGUGUAACCCUAGCCCCCUCCGGUGUCUAUAUAAACCGGAGGGUUUAGUCCGUAGGACAACAACAAUCAUACCAUAGGCUAGCUUCUAGGGUUUAGCCUCUACGAUCUCGUGGUAGAUCAACUCUUGUAAUACUCAUAUCAUCAAGAUCAAUCAAGCAGGAAGUAGGGUAUUACCUCCAUCGAGAGGGCCCGAACCUGGGUAAACAUCGUGUCCCCCGCCUCCUGUUACCAUCCGCCUUAGACGCACAGUUCGGGACCCCCUACCCGAGAUCCGCCGGUUUUGACACCGACAGUGGCCACCGGCAGAACUGCUCGCCGGGGACGACGGCAGGCGAACUGGAGGAGAGGCGCGGGGCUCGGUGGAAGGAGCAUGAGCUCUGGAGGGUGCUGCUCUCCCUGGAUCAGACGCGGGAGGCUGCAGGGGCGCUCGGAGAUCGAUGGAGGGAGGUGGAUCGAUGGAUUGGUCUGGUGGGGAAAACGAGGUGGAGCUUGGGCUAUGGUCGUUGGUGGGAUGGGGAUCCCGAGCUGGUUGAUGAGACGGGGCGGCGGCGGCUAGAGGAUCCCUAGAAAUUAGGGAUUUGUCUAAUUACACUGCUUAAAUAGCAGCAAGGAGAGGGUGGUAGGGGCUAGGUUUGGCGCUAUUAGGUCCCUCGGAUUAAAUCAGACGGUCAAGAGUAAAUAUGCUAGGGAGUCCAAACAAAUAACCGAAGAUAUCUUACGGAUGUUUGGGGAUGAUCCGAAUACAACGGUGAUGACUGAGCGGGUCGGGUUCGGGGAAGUUUUCGGACAUGGUUGUGAAGGGGUUUGAGUAAAGUGUAGAGGGGGUCAAACGGUCAGACAAGAGGGAAUCGAAAAUGCGGUUGGACUUGGAUCGGUCAACGAAGGCAAGGGGGAACACGGCAACUACGAACGGAUGCAAGCUUUAUGAAAACAUGCAGAUGCAAUGCGCAUGAUGCUAUGAGAUGAGAUGCAUGACAUGAACAAAAUGCAAAACAAAAGACAAAAACCCAACCACGAAGGAAAUAUCAUAACACAUAGCCAGAAAUGGGAAGAGUUGGAGUUACAAUUAUGGAAAGUUACAUCCGGGGCGUUACAAAAACAAACAUAGCCUCUAUGAUAUUUAUGUUCAUGGUGUUCAUAUCCUACUCAUGCUAGUGUCCAAUGUUAUUUAUGCAUAAUGCAUGGUUAUGAUCAUUGUUGCUCUCUAGCUGGCCGCUUCUCAAGCUAAUUACUAGCCUUCGCCUGUACUAAGUGGGAACUAUGCUUGUACAUCAAAAACCUUGAACCCAAAGUUAUUCCAGAUGAGUCCACCAUACCUACCUAUAUGCGGUAUUACCCUGCCAUCCUAAGUAAAUCUGCAUGUGCCACCUCUAAAAACUUCUAAAAAUUAUCCUUUUUGUGUGCCUAGAUCGUUCAUGGAACAACAGGAGGUGGUCGGUAUCUUCCAUGCUAAGCGGGUUAUUCUCAGGUCGAGUGUUUAUUCACUCGCCAUCGCACGAGAAAAGGGCGAUAAUAGGGAUGCCCAGUCCCAAACUGCAAACAUGAAAAAGAGUUAAUCUCUUAUAUAAUUAAAUAAAAAUUCCCAAUGGAGUCAAAACCUUUACUUUUAUCGCUUGGGAACCGCCACUAGCGUGCUUAGCAUGGAAGAUAUUGAUAACUGAUGGUUGUGAAGUAAAUGAGAAGGGUGCAUGUCUCAAAAUGUCAUUUACCUAUGUUUUAAAAUUUGAGAUCUGGCACCUCUGCAAAUCACUGCUUCUCUCUGCGAAGGGACUAUGUAUUUACUUUUAUGUUGUGUCAUCACCUUCUAAAACAAGCGCCAGAAACUGAGAGAGCACAGCUGUCAUGAUUUAUGUAUUGUGUGUAGCUAAUGUUGGGUGCAUCAUGACUGGAUCUUUUCUACCAUGAAUUACAAUGUUUAGUCGCUGCUUGAACUUUGGCAGUGCUCUGCAUUUAUGUUUUGCGGUCUCAAAAAGGGCUAACGAGAUACCACUAUUGUCAUAUUAUAUCAUGGUUGUUUUGACAACGUGUUAUUGUUUGAGGUAUCUUAUUAUUGCUCGCUAGCUCAUUAUGUCAUUGACAUGAGUCCUUAUAAUCUUUAAGAGUUAUUGUCAACAUGGUUAGUUAUAAUGUUGGCUGAAAACCUGGGUGUUGUUUAAGCUUAUUUAUGCAAACAAGAGCAAAAGAAUUCGUAAAGUUUUUCUUUUUCACUUUCAUUUUAUCAACUGAAUUGCUUGAGGACAAGCAAAGGUUUAAGCUUGGGGGAGUUGAUACGUCUCCAACGUAUCUACUUUUCCUAACGCUUUUCCUCUUGUUUUGGACUCUAAUUUGCAUGAUUUGAAUGAAACUAACCCCGGACUAACGCUGUUUUCAGCAGAACUACCAUGGUGUUGUUUUUGUGCAGAAAUAAAAGUUCUCGGAAUGGAAUGAAACUUUGCGAGGAAUUUUUAUAUAAUAUAUAAGAAUUUCUGGAGCCAAGACCUACCAGAGAGGGGCCCCUGGGUGGGCACAACCCACCAGGGCGCCCCCCCCCCCUCUCCUAGCGCGCCCAGGUGGGUUGUCCCCACCUGGUGGCCUCGCAGACCCUGAAACCAACGCUAUAAAAUCCUAUUUUUCCAGAAAAAAUCAGGGAGAAAGAAUUAUCGCGAUCCACGAGACGGAGCCGCCGUCACCUCCUGUUCUUCAUCGGGAGGCCAGAUCUGGAGUCCGUUUGGGGCUCCGACGAGGGGGAUCUUCGUUCUUCGUCUUCACCAACCCUUCUCCAUCGCCAAUUCCAUGAUGCUCCCCACCGGGAGUGAGUAAUUCCUUCGUAGGCUCGCUGGUCGGUGGGGAGUUGGAUGAGAUUCAUCAUGUAAUCGAGUUAGUUUUGUUAGGGCUUGAUCCCUAGUAUCCACUAUGUUCUUAGAUUGAUGUUGCUAUGACUUUGCUAUGCUUAAUGCUUGUCACUUUGGGCCCGGGUGCCAUGAACUCAGAUUUGAACCGUUUAUCUUAUCAUCAUUAUAUCCAUGUUUUAGAUCCGAUCUUGCAAGUUAUAGUCACCUACUACGUGUUAUGAUCCGGUAACCCCGGAGUGACAAUAACCGGGCCCACUCCCGAUGAUGACCGUAGUUUGAGGAGUUCAUGUAUUCACUAUGUGUUAAUGCUUUGUUCCGGUUCUCUAUUAAAAGGAGGCCUUAAUAUCCCUUAGUUUCCAAUAUGGACCCCGCUGCCACGGGAGGGUAGGACAAAAGAUGUCACGCAAGUUCUUUCCAUAAGCACGUAUGACUAUUUACGGAAUACAUGCCUACAUUAUAUCGAUGAACUGGAGCUAGUGCUGUAUCGCCCUAUGUUAUAACUGUCACAUGAUGAAUAUCAUCCAACAGGUCACCGAUCCAAUGCCUACGAAUUUAUCUUAUAUUGUUUCUGUUAAGUUACUACCGCUAUCAUCACUGUUACACUUGCUACAAAUUACUGUUAUCACUGUUACUGUUACCAUUGCCACUGUUACUAUUAUCAAAACUAUCAAACUACUUUGCUACUGAUUACUUGCUGCAGAUAAUUAAUCUCCAGGCGUGGUUGAAUUGACAACUCAGCUUCUAAUACCUUCAAAUAUUCUUUGGCUCCCCUUGUGUCGAAUCUAUAAAUUUGGGUUGAAUACUCUACCCUCGAAAACUGUUGCGAU
rnacentral:lncRNA from 1 species